AUAUUUAAGGCGAGCUGAGCCGUGACGUCCGGAGGACGUCAGGGCUCAGCCACUGAACUUCGGCUGUGCUGACCCCUGCGAUUUCCCCAAGUGCGGGAAACUCGACUGCAUAAUUGGUGGUAGUGGGGGACUGCGUUGGCGCCCUCCCCUG
rnacentral:snRNA from 1 species